rnacentral:rRNA from 1 species
UACGACGGGGGCUAGCGUUGUUCGGAAUCACUGGGCGUAAAGCGCACGUAGGCGGAUGUGUCAGUCAGGGGUGAAAUCCCGGGGCUCAACCUCGGAACUGCCUCUGAUACAGCACGUCUUGAGUCCGGAAGAGGUGGGUGGAAUUCCUAGUGUAGAGGUGAAAUUCGUAGAUAUUAGGAAGAACACCGGUGGCGAAGGCGACCCACUGGUCCGGUACUGACGCUGAGGUGCGAAAGCGUGGGGAGCAAACAGG